rnacentral:rRNA from 1 species
GUGAGUAGUUCAGAGUUUGAUCUGGCUCAGGACGAACGCUGGCGGCGUGCCUAACACAUGCAAGUCGAACGGAGUUAAGACUUCGGUUUUAACUUAGUGGCGAACGGGUGAGUAACGCGUGAGAAACCUGCCUUUCAGUGGGGGACAACAGUUGGAAACGACUGCUAAUACCGCAUAAUGUUAUUUGGGGGCAUCCCCGGAUAACCAAAGAUUUAUUGCUGAAAGAUGGUCUCGCGUCUGAUUAGCUAGUUGGUGAGGUAACGACUCACCAAGGCGACGAUCAGUAGCCGGUCUGAGAGGAUGAACGGCCACAUUGGGACUGAGAUACGGCCCAG